GCUCACAGCUCUGUUGGUAGAGCAUGGGGCUCUCAAUCUCAGGGUCGUGGGUUCGAGCCCAACGUUGGGCA